rnacentral:lncRNA from 1 species
GAGCCGGCAGAGAGACGCGCGAAAACAAGGCGAUCACCGUCGUUGAUGUCGAGCAAUACGCUGCAACCUUCCCAUGUCACUCUAGGAUUUUGAAUCGAAUCCGAUUGAGGUUUAUAUUCGGACAUGUUGGAUCCUUUAUUUUAAACAGAAAUGCCGCGGUUAAAUUAAAAGGAUAAAGAAUUAAAUUUUACGAAAAAAAAACAGAAGGUACAAAAAGUUCUGUUGCUAAGGAUUCAGGUGUUCGUAGAACAUAAUCUAACUCUGUAAGGAGUUAAAGAUUCCAACUUGCCCGUCGAAAGCAUAUAAAACCUUAACGUCUAGGGUUUAAGUUCAAGGUUUUAACCGC